rnacentral:tRNA from 5 species
GCCAUCUUAGCUCAGUUGGUAGAGCAGCUGAUUUGUAAUCAGCAGGUCGUGGGUUCGAGUCCCACAAAUGGCUCCA